rnacentral:misc_RNA from 1 species
GCGGUUAACAUUCCAGAGCUUGAACUUCUGAGACGAUAUCAUAAAGAUGCUGUGUCUUGGAUAAAGCGUGUUAACAAUAUUCUAUUGGGCAUCAGCGAAAGGGAGGAUCAAGAAACUGUAGCUCACGAGUUAACUUGCAUUCAAAAGGAUGCAUCAUUACUUAGGGUUGAAGUUGAGGAGCUGCCUUGUGUGGAUAUUGAGCUAAAGAAGGCUCGUUGUAGGGUAAAAGCUCUGAAGGCACUUCGUUGCAGAACGUCCAUGGAUUAUAUUGAGAAGCUGUUGAUGGAGGCUAGCAUAUUGCAGAUCGAGAAAGAGAAAUUGUUUACUGAUGUUUACGAGGUAAAGGAAA